rnacentral:lncRNA from 1 species
AUGUAGUAUCUUACAACUAAGAAUGAAAAAGUUAGGGUAAGGACAACAUAACAAGUUGAAACACGGACGCAUCAAGAGUUUGGUAAAGCAAGACACCAUUUUAUUUCAGAUUGAGCCUCAUAAUGGAAUUUAAAAACUUCCAUGAAACUUGAGCAUUGUAUGCUCUUGUCCACGAAGAGAGAUAUAGCCUUAUAGCACCAGCAUGCCUGUCUAUGUUACUCCUCAAGCCAAACUAUAGAACUUUUAUCUGUCGACAACCUGUCCAAAGACACUGGCUAAUUACCCACAAACUGUCCAUUCCGCCACAAAUAUGCACAGGCAUGCAUCACCUUCCUCUUUGGUCUUCUCAUUCGCGUGAACAUCGUCGACAUUGCCCACCAUGCUUGCUCGCAUCUACUUGCUCCUUGUCAAGUACAUCCACGCUUCCAACUCUCACCUCAUCACCAUGCUCGUUGAUGCAUAUGUCAAGUCCAGCCUCGUCACACAUGUGGGUGUACAAUUUUCGUCUGACACAUGAAUGGCCAUUGCCACGCCCUUCCUUCUCGUUUGUUACGCCCCUACUAACCUCACCGCCGUGUGCGUCCUUAUCCUGAGAAAAAUACAUUCAGAACAUUAUAAAAAUCAUAAUAUUUGAACGUUUUUUUGAGUCAAUGGAAGAUGCGGUUCUGCACCUUCACUUCAUUAUCAGAGGAGUCAAAAUUUAGGAUUUAAUAUAGCUUUCAACAGGAAUAAUGUGUAUUAUAAUCAAGCAUGGGCUAGGUUAUCAAUGAGAAGCAUAAUACAGAAGCAAGCUAAAGCUACCCACUCUUAGGUUUAUAGUGUAUACUACACUACAUACUACAGAAGCAUAAUUUUGAGAUUAACGCUACAACUUUGUCAUGUAUCAGGGUAUCUUUGUUUUGAAAAGAACACAUCAUGUGUGGAAUGUGGCUGGUAACAUGUGCUCAUUGUUCAGGGUGUGUCGAGAUCUGCAAGUAUUAGCACAAGAAACUCUUCAGUUGUAACACAAUCUACCAAUGCCUGAAACAAAUAGAAUUAUUGAAAUGGCCUACCGUCAAAUUAUUACCCAGAGUAUAUAACUUAUUUUUCAAGUAAAUAAGAUCGCGUGUGAAAAGAGAUAUGUCCAAGCUAUGAUGAGAAGUUCAUACCAAUCAUGUACAUGAAAGCAUUGACUAUAGCCACUCCUGAAAUGUAGAUUAGAAAAAAAUAAUGCAGACCAAAAAAACAUGGUGAGCGAGUGAAAGACUGAACUUACCUUUACCAAGAUUUCCGCAUAUGCCAAACAAAUUCCAGCACUGACUUUUAUCCAAGCGCUGCUCUGGCUCUUUUCCUUCAUACGUAUCACCCUGCAAUGAAACAUAUCACAUUAAAAAUAAUUAGAGGUAUUCUGAAAAAUAAAAUGAUAGCAAUUAGUAUUAUUCAGUAAAUGAACAAUGAGAUUUCUGGAAAAUACAUUGUAGUAACAUAUUAACAUUUUUGUAGUACCAUAAGAACAUAUUAAAUUAGGCCAAGCUCUGGAAAACGCCCAUUCUUUUCAUGUUAUUAUUUAUAUAAUGGGAUUUCAAAAGAAGAGCGAGAGAGAAGGGAGCAUGAUGGAAUUAUUAGUAUGCCCAUGUUACAAGCACAUGCUUAUAGAAGAACAUGUUUCUGCAUCUAUCAUAGAUUUAUAGUAUGUCCUAGCUCUGUCGCUACAAAAUGUGGGUGCAUUAUAGUUAGCAUGGAAGAACACCGUCCGGUAACAUCACCAUGCCAAAAUGUGGGAUAACUGUCCUCUGUAAUCUUUUGGUGCUAAGAUUCAUUGCUCUAUCUAUUAUAUCUCGUAUUCUUCAUGUUCUUUGUGCCAUCAGUAGAGAAGGCAAAAUAAUUUCAAUAGUUCCAAACAUAAAAUCCUGAUGUUGCUCUCUUAUCAAGUUCAUCUGGAAUUUCUACCAAAAAAAUGUUCCCUGUUCAUAGAGAUGCUUGACACAAAUUGGUUUGAUUUAGUAUAACCAUCAGCGAGUGAGUGACGAAACUACAUGCUCUCAGCUCUCAGGUCCAUGUCAGAACUUGCAUGUUCCUACACAAAGCUGGGGCAGCAACACCUUCCCAAUGAGGAGUCGAGGCAAAUCUGUGACUGAUUGCGCCUCACAGACUCAAGGUUUCUGUAAACUGCUUAAAUUAUUCAGAGCAUGAUGACGGGGAUGAUAUCCCAUAUAUCUUUUGCGUACUGGUGUAUCAUACGGUCACUGCUGAACUUGGGGGAACCAGCUAUAUUGAGCAUGGACGUUUUUGUCCAAAGCCGCAGGUAGAGACGGAUAUGAUGUGAUUAGGAGGAUCAAACACUCUGAGUGACUAUCUACCAGUCUACCUGUCUAUGUGGAGAUAGUAAUGAAAUAGCAAACUAAAAAUGUUAAUCACACAUGAAACAGAGUGGAAAUAUCCACGAUAGCGGAAUAAUGUUCAGAAAUGAAAAACAGUUUUCUGAAGUUAUUUUUGGAUUGGAAUGCAUAGAACAACUUUCCUGAAGCUAGGUUCAUCAAAGCUCAUACGUCUGCCAGCCAACAUAUGAGUAAUUAUAGCACAUCUAGCACCUGCAUUCUCUGAUUGGCUAUGAUGUUCUUCCAACAUACUGAUAAACACUUCAGUGUGAAAUAAGAAAUAUUCCUAACAAUCAGUGAAGUCGUUCAUAGUGAAACACUGAUGUACCAUUGGGUAAAACUUGCAUAGAGGCAUAGGCAUAUAACUGUCAUAUUCAAAUGCAUUGAAACCUAACGAAUCUAAAUCUAACAAUGUCAUUCUUGUGAAAUAUCAUCCAAAAAUAGUUAAUAUAAUAAAGAAGAGAAGUAGACACACUGAGCAAAACAUGAGAAAUAUUUUGCUUUUCGUUAAUACAAUGAUCAAGAUACAAAUGCAAUGAUUAGAGGGGACACAAAAAAGGCCUUGGCAUUAACUCACAUGAAGUGAAAUAAAUAACAGGUUUGUGGUAACACUCCAAUCUGAUGCACAAGAACUCUGAAUAAAGCAUCACCAAAUCGAGAAAUACUUGGUUCUAUAGUCCCAUGCAGUUACAUUUCUAUACUUUCAAGUUUUUGGAUCAACGACACUAAAUAAACAGAGCAUCUAACAAAAAAACAUUAUGUUACAAAAGCAUUUCCCAUGUCUUCUGUUAUUAGGUCUAUACAGGAUAGUAUUAGGCCAAAAAAGUGAAAGAGUGUAAUGAGAAGGUCUAGCAAGAAUAUUGUAAUAAUUUCCUUUAAACUGCAGUUUUUUAAAAUGAGCUCAUUUACUGUUGGUUUGUCAUAUUUAGGUGUAGUCGAAAGAGAAUCCAACUCAAAAGCUAGCAAAGCUCCAUCCUGGAUACGACAGAGUACGGGCAUAUUUAAGCAUUGACUGCUUGAUCAAUUGUGGCUUGUUAAAUAUUAAUUGUACCUAGUUAAAUAGUAAUUGUCCCUACUUACAUGGUAUAAGGAACACUUUCUCAACAAAUGCAAUGCUUCGGUAACUACAAACCAUAAUGCUUCAGUAACCACACAGUUUUUCUCUGUUUAGUUGCAAGAACAGGGCGAGUAGAAACUUUUUUUUGCCUUCAUUACCUCGCAGAUUGAAAUAGAAAGUGAGGCACCCUGACUCGAUGUUCCUGAAGGCGCCCUCGCUAUGGCCUAGUUCACCCUUCUCAGGGCCAGGAGUAAAACCACAGCUUGCCUCCUCAAAAUACCAGCAGAACCAACUCAUCAGGCAUGCAAUCAGGAUAACAACAUAUCAUUCAGAGUUCAAACCAAGUAAACAAACAUAUGCAUCAGGCACUGGUGCAUCCAAAGUUUAACUCUAUUCUCCUCCCAUAUAAUGGAUGAGGCAAAUCUUUUGCCUUCGUUUCGGAAAAAAAAGUUUAACUAUAUCAAGAGCUAAAAACAAUUAGCAUGUCAUAUAUGGCAAUCUGUAAGAGAUAAAAUAAUAGCCAUAUAGAUACCAGACCUUACUCCCUUACAAGACAGUGUCAUAAAAAACUCUUAAAGCAACACCAGGAUCAAUUCACCACACCAAACCAGUCAUCAUGAACUGAUGAUACUCGGGGUAACUUGUCCAAAUGAAAAUAAAAUUAAACCAUGGUGGUUCAGUUUCAAAUAAAAAGUGCAUAUAUCAGUUCGAAGUGGACUCGCCACGCGUUGACUGAAAAAUAACUCAUGUGCCAAGAAACAUAAUCUUACAUCUGACUUUUAACAGUUUAGCUGACAGCAAAAUGGCUCAUUCAAAUCAAGCAACUAUCUAAGAUGCAACCUUUAUUUGCCAUCAAGCACUGAAGAGCUUGUUGUGCAUAGAUUGAUGCCCAGGAGAAACAGAGGGGGCUAAAAAACACACCUCUCAGGGCUUGUAGAUCUGGCCAUCUAUAAUUGUGAGGUGUGCUAUUAUGACCACCACAAUACCAUGGGUGGAAAAGCCACUUAAACUUUCAGUUUAGAACAAUACAUGAACGAGGCUUCUAACUUCUAAACUAUGCAUGCUUACAAAACUAAAAACCAUACAUGACCACAAGUUUGCUGCAACAAAUUCAAGAAGAAUUCACCACAGCAAACUGAACCUGAAAGAUAACCGAUAUAUAUAUAUAUAUAUAUAUAUAUGAUCCAUGUUGUAGGACACCGUACACAACAAAAAGGAAAUGAAGUACGUACUAUUAUGCAUCUGAACCAUAUUGACUACUGAUGUAACCUGUGUUGAUGAAUCUGAAAAGGCUACGACUUGCUCAGAAAUUCAAAGUGCGUCAUAACAAGCUUGAUGGUCAGCCGCACACACUCUCGAAGGCGACCAGGGAGAGGUUGAUGCAGGUGAUGCCACCGCCAGAAGCUCCAGCACAUGUCGCUAGUUGCCGCACCUGACCUCAAGGAU